rnacentral:tRNA from 1 species
GAGAAAGAAAAAAGAACUGCUAACUCUUUAUACCAUGAUUAACCCCGUGGCUUUCUUA